rnacentral:lncRNA from 1 species
AUGGUGAGGCCGAUAUGCAGGGGCUAUCAGUGGCGUUAUGGUGAGGCCGAUGAUGCAGCUAGAGCAAGGAUGGUGUCUUGUCCGCUAGGAGCUUGCAAGACCCUUCCUGCACCAGAAAGGCAAAACAGAGGCCGACAGAGGGCACAUGAAGAAGGAGACAGUAGGGGCUUCAGCAGGCACCUCUCUCGCACGAUCGAGCCGGGAGAAACAAGAAUUAGAAGACAAUCAGUGUCAGCAGUUCAGCGCUCCUCAGAGAAUCAUGCUCCUCUGCAGUCCAACAAGAACUCGACAAAGGUCGGCUCCCCCUGCAAGUCUCUUUCAAGCAAUAGAAGCAAGAGCCCGGAUGCAGGCUCCGCUCCAUCUCUCCCCUCUCCUGCUGUCCCAGUUGACUCACCUGAUUUAGCCCCUCUAAUGCAGGUUUCGGGUGCUGUCCUGGAUAUCCUAGAGAAGCACCUGGACCCCAUGAUCCAUGAAGCUGAAAUGGCACAUGCACUGUAUUCUCCAGAUACUACACUUCCACGUCCU